AGUGAACGCUGGCGGUAGGCCUAACACAUGCAAGUCGAACGGCAGCACAGUAAGAGCUUGCUCUUACGGGUGGCGAGUGGCGGACGGGUGAGGAAUACAUCGGAAUCUACUUUUUCGUGGGGGAUAACGUAGGGAAACUUACGCUAAUACCGCAUACGACCUACGGAUGAAAGCAGGGGAUCUUCGGACCUUGCGCGAUUGAAUGAGCCGAUGUCGGAUUAGCUAGUUGGCGGGGUAAAGGCCCACCAAGGCGACGAUCCGUAGCUGGUCUGAGAGGAUGAUCAGCCACACUGGAACUGAGACACGGUCCAGACUCCUACGGGAGGCAGCAGUGGGGAAUAUUGGACAAUGGGGGAAAGCCUGAUCCAGCCAUACCGCGUGGGUGAAGAAGGCCUUCGGGUUGUAAAGCCCUUUUGUUGGGAAAGAAAAGCAGCAGGUUAAUACCCCGCUGUUCUGACGGUACCCAAAGAAUAAGCACCGGCUAACUUCGUG
rnacentral:rRNA from 1 species